rnacentral:rRNA from 1 species
GAGCGAACGGACGAGAAGCUUGCUUCUCUGAUGUUAGCGGCGGACGGGUGAGUAACACGUGGAUAACCUACCUAUAAGACUGGGAUAACUUCGGGAAACCGGAGCUAAUACCGGAUAAUAUUUUGAACCGCAUGGUUCAAAAGUAAAAGACGGUCUUGCUGUCACUUAUAGAUGGAUCCGCGCUGCAUUAGCUAGUUGGUAAGGUAACGGCUUACCAAGGCAACGAUGCAUAGCCGACCUGAGAGGGUGAUCGGCCACACUGGAACUGAGACACGGUCCAGACUCCUACGGGAGGCAGCAGUAGGGAAUCUUCCGCAAUGGGCGAAAGCCUGACGGAGCAACGCCGCGUGAGUGAUGAAGGUCUUCGGAUCGUAAAACUCUGUUAUUAGGGAAGAACAUAUGUGUAAGUAACUGUGCACAUCUUGACGGUACCUAAUCAGAAAGCCACGGCUAACUACGUGCCAGCAGCCGCGGUAAUACGUAGGUGGCAAGCGUUAUCCGGAAUUAUUGGGCGUAAAGCGCGCGUAGGCGGUUUUUUAAGUCUGAUGUGAAAGCCCACGGCUCAACCGUGGAGGGUCAUUGGAAACUGGAAAACUUGAGUGCAGAAGAGGAAAGUGGAAUUCCAUGUGUAGCGGUGAAAUGCGCAGAGAUAUGGAGGAACACCAGUGGCGAAGGCGACUUUCUGGUCUGUAACUGACGCUGAUGUGCGAAAGCGUGGGGAUCAAACAGGAUUAGAUACCCUGGUAGUCCACGCCGUAAACGGAUGAGUGCUAAGUGUUAGGGGGUUUCCGCCCCUUAGUGCUGCAGCUACGCAUUAAGCACUCCGCCUGAGGGGUA